UUUUCCGGUCGGUUUUUCUACCAAAAGGGAAAGCAGUAACCAAAGAAAGAAAAAAUUGGAAGGAUCUACCGAAGAGUCUAACGAAGGAUUUCACUGGCAUUUGGUCCUAACGAGGUGCAUGGUUUGUUCCAUCAAGAAAAUAGGGGUGAAAUCAGUAAACACUCGUCGGUGGGUUAGUCAAAAAGGUGGUUUGUUCGCUCCCCUUUAUCGUUAGCAGUAUUCACCCAUUUUACUGGAGGAAAUCAACACCGACACCCAAAAAAAAAAAAAAAAGAAAAACCCAGCUACAGGAGUAGAGAAGAUCAAGGAGAGCUAAUUCCCAAAUAAAAAGUAUACUACUAAGAAGAGGAGCAUUUCGCCGAAAUUUUGAAUUUGUUAAAGCAACACUGAAGCCAUUGCAACUACUAUCACAACCCAGUCAACUAAUUUCAGUUCUCCAGCAACAUAUUCUCCAACCCCAUGGCAACAGGUUCUAAAAGAAAACAAAUCCAUAAAAAGGUACAUAUUCUUGUUCUCAAGCUACAUUCCUCUAGAAAUGUCUGAGCUUUGAUCUGUUGUGAAGAUGGGGUGGAAGAAGUGGAGGCAUGGAAAACGUUUUCUUGGAUAUAAAGAAUCUGCUGCAAGUCAUCCCAUUAGUUAUCGACCACCAAACGCUUGAUGAAAUGCUCAAAUCAAAACAUUUUUCAUCGCAAGACUGGAUUUUAUGAUCUGUU
rnacentral:lncRNA from 1 species